GCGUAGCCUGAAGGGGAAGGAAUUAAGGCCCGAAUGACUUUCUCUUGACUGCCCCCACCCCAACCCCCCAUCCUCUGAGCUGGGGUGGUUAAAUUCACGUGCUCCCCCGGGGUCCAGUGCUUAAAGACGCUCAAGAGCCACGAAGCCCCUCACUCGGGACGAACUCACCAUCCGUGGACCCUACCCGCCCCCCUUCCUACUCCACGCCCCAGUCUGCACUCGGAACAGCCCUUCUCCGGCCAGGUCCCAGAGCAGGCCCGCUGCUCCCCAAGCUCCGCCCACACGCGGGUCCCGGCGUUGGCUCCGCCCCAGGUGGGUAGGGCAAGCGCUAGCCCCGCCCCCGGGCAUCCUCACAGGGUGACGAUGUCAGCGUUGGUCGUUUCCAUGGCGAUCGUCAGAGGGUCUUUGCCUUCAGAGUCCCGAGCUCCCAGAUCGGCCCCCCGUUUCAGGAACAGGCAGGCCAGCCUGAAAAGGAUAGCCGGGUUCAGGCGGCCACUCACCCCAUCCGCGCCCUUCUUUCCCGCAGCCAUCCUCCCUGCCCGCCCCUACCCUACCCCGUGUGGCCCAGAAUGGUUGCAUGGUGGAGCGGCCCCCGGCCGUGGUUGUCCGCUUGGUUCACGUUCGCCCCGUUCUGGAGGAGAAACUCACAGGCCAGAAGAGAAUUCUGCACGGAGGGGUUGAGAACGGGAGAGAAAGUGGCAUCUUUAGAAGCAGACCAGAGAUGUUUUAGGAUGGGGUCAGUCCAGGGGCUGGGAUAUGGCUGUGUCACGCUCCGCUCUAGCUCUUCAGCUGUAUUCUCACGUUAGGCCCACAGUACAACCUCAUGAGGUGUGUUAUCCCUAUUUUACAGAUGAGCAAACUGAGGCACACAGAGAGGUUCACAACCGUGAGUGGACACCCCGUAAUACUGCCCCCUCCCCCAAUCCAGCCACAGAAGGGAUAAUGCCUGGUGCUACAUGGGGGCGUCCAAGAUGCCUUUGUGAUCGGCCCUGCCUUCCCGUUGGUAAAGAUUCAGACACGUCGUCGGAUGUCUGCACUCACUUGCUGGGGGACACGACCUCAAAGCAAAACCGCCUCUCUAAGUCCGGGCAGAGCUUCACUGUGCAGAGGCGAAGGUCAUCCACCACCACGGUCACGGGAUCCUGGAAAGGGAAGGUGGCGAGGGGCAGCCAUCCACCCGCUUGCAGCAAGGGCUGAGUGUCCCUGAGCCCCGGCAUCUGGGACCCGGCCUGCCUACCUUGUACUUCUUCUGAUACACCAGUUGGUUGCUCUGAAUAGUGAACCAGCGUCUGGAGGAGGCAGAAACAGAGGUGUGGACAUGGGUGGCAUCGGGACAGGCUUGGGACAGGGGAGAGCGGAGAGGCUGUGCCCCCUGCCCCGUAAGGAUGGUGCUGAGAGAGCCGGGCUGACCCUCCCAUCCUGUCCGGAGGGCACAGGGUUGUGUGGGGCCAGGACAUGGAAGGCGGGGCUACUCACACCUUGGACAACCCAGAUUGGAUCCUUUGUGAAGACAACUUUCCAGCAGAUGGCAGUAAAAUGCUUUUUCCAAGAAAA